rnacentral:rRNA from 1 species
AUGAAUUAUGCUUAUGGAGAUGAACUUGCUAUAGUUCCUUAUGUUAAACAUGAAAUUGUUGCUAUUGCACCCACGCAUGGUAGUCCUAUUAUCUUUUUGAAUUCUCCCUACUACACUAUAUCAGAGAAGUUUGUGCUUACUAAGGAUUAUAUUGAUGGGUUGCCUUUUACCAUUGCACAUGAUGAUUUUGAUGAAUGUGAUAUGCAUGUGCUUGCUGCUCCUACUUGCAAUUAUUAUGAGAGAGGAACUAUAUCUCCACCUCUCUAUGUUUCCAAUAUGAUAAAAUUGCAAGAAAUUGUUUAUACCAUGCAUUAG